rnacentral:rRNA from 1 species
UACGAAGGGGGCUAGCGUUGCUCGGAAUCACUGGGCGUAAAGGGCGCGUAGGCGGGCUCUUAAGUCAGGGGUGAAAGCCCAAGGCUCAACCUUGGAAUUGCCUUUGAUACUGAGGGCCUUGAGACCGGAAGAGGUCGGCGGAACUGCGAGUGUAGAGGUGAAAUUCGUAGAUAUUCGCAAGAACACCAGUGGCGAAGGCGGCCGACUGGUCCGGUUCUGACGCUGAGGUGCGAAAGCGUGGGGAGCAA